AUUCUCCCAUACGCAAGCUCCGAGAGACUUCAUGCCAGGCACAGGACACAGAAUAUGCUGAUAAUUAAGUGUCCAAGAUGGAUGGAGCACUGAGGAAAUUUGCUGAAGGCUGCUAGCCAGGAGACUCGAGAAGGAAUUGUUAAAAAGGAGAACUAUCCAAACAUUGUCCUCUCCCUUUGGAGCCUAAACAGGAAAGAAAACUCUUAGGUCUCCCUGUUGGUGGAACCCAUCCAAGCACUGGAGCCUUGUCAAUAUCGUGGCUGGAAGUUGGUUCCUGGAAGACAGAGAAGGAUAGAGAAGAUGGCAAUCUGGAAGGGCAAGGUAGAAUGACCUACACACAAACUUAGUGGCAAAUCACAUCUAUUCCCUAGGCUUUGAGUUCUUCACUUAUACA